AUUGAACGCUGGCGGCAGGCCUAACACAUGCAAGUCGAGCGGAUGAAGGGAGCUUGCUCCUGGAUUCAGCGGCGGACGGGUGAGUAAUGCCUAGGAAUCUGCCUGGUAGUGGGGGAUAACGUCCGGAAACGGGCGCUAAUACCGCAUACGUCCUGAGGGAGAAAGUGGGGGAUCUUCGGACCUCACGCUAUCAGAUGAGCCCAGGUCGGAUUAGCUAGUUGGUGGGGUAAAGGCCUACCAAGGCGACGAUCCGUAACUGGUCUGAGAGGAUGAUCAGUCACACUGGAACUGAGACGCGGUCCAGACUCCUACGGGAGGCAGCAGUGGGGAAUAUUGGACAAUGGGCGAAAGCCUGAUCCAGCCAUGCCGCGUGUGUGAAGAAGGUCUUCGGAUUGUAAAGCACUUUAAGUUGGGAGGAAGGGCAGUAAGUUAAUACCUUGCUGUUUUGACGUUACCAACAGAAUAAGCACCGGCUAACUUCGUG
rnacentral:rRNA from 1 species